CUCCAUUUAAGCAUAAAUAGGUGAAGUUAAAAACAAAGUUUACAUUUGUUUCGUUUCUAUAAAUGCAUCAAUUGUGUUUGAUUCUAUGCAAACUCAGUGACCUUCCUUGUUACUCAGCUAUAAAAACUUCCCAUCAGGCUGUCAGUGGAGUUCACAGCACGUCACUUUCAACAUAAACCAUGUUUUCUGUAGCUCUGCUGCUGCUGUUGGCAGCUGGAUGUGUGAAGUGUGAACAGUUGACACAGCCAGCCUCUGUGACUGUGCAGCCAGGUCAACGUCUGACCAUCACCUGUCAGGUCUCUUAUUCUCUUAGCAGCCACUACACAGCUUGGAUCAGACAGUCUGCAGGGAAAGGACUGGAGUGGAUUAGUGAGGACACAACUGUGAAAGAUUCACUAAAGAACAAGUUCAGUAUCGACUUAGACUCUUCCAGCAACAGAGUGACUUUAAACGGACAGAAUGUGCAGCCUGAAGACACAGCAGUGUAUUACUGUGCCCGCAGACCCGCACAGUGAAAGACAACAAUAGAAGAGUCAUACAAAUACUACUUCCUGUAUUUACCACAACUACUGGCAUCAUUCUGAUUGACUGAAAAUUUAACUCCUUUUCUAUUUCACAUGUUUCUAACAAGGGUGGUGUAGUGGUUAGCACUGUUGCCU